CCCCUCUCAGGGAUGCACCUGGAGAGUUUCCAGUUCUCUACCAGUCUCAACUGCAGGAGGGACAGUCAAGCAAAGACCUACCCAUUCCAUUCCUAGUUUGAGCAGUAGCUAGAGAGUGGAAGGCCAUCUGCUCCAAGU
rfam:Ornithorhynchus anatinus chromosome 4, whole genome shotgun sequence.